rnacentral:rRNA from 1 species
CGCGACUGAGGCUUCGGCCUCAGUUGAGUGGCGAACGGGUGAGUAACACGUGGGUGACCUACCUUCGAGUGGGGGAUAACGUCCCGAAAGGGACGCUAAUACCGCAUAACAUCCUUCCUUUGAACAGGAGGAGAUCAAAGCCGGGGAUCGCAAGACCUGGCGCUUGAUGAGGGGCCCGCGUCCGAUUAGCUAGUUGGUGGGGUAAUGGCCUACCAAGGCAACGAUCGGUAGCCGGCCUGAGAGGGCGGACGGCCACACUGGGACUGAGACACGGCCCAGACUCCUACGGGAGGCAGCAGUGGGGAAUUGUUCGCAAUGGGCGCAAGCCUGACGACGCAACGCCGCGUGGAGGAUGAAGGUCUUCGGAUUGUAAACUCCUGUUGCCCGGGACGAACGGCUCCAACCUAAUACGUUGGAGUUUGACGGUACCGGGUGAGGAAGCCCCGGCUAACUCUGUGCCAGCAGCCGCGGUAAUACAGAGGGGGCAAGCGUUG